rnacentral:rRNA from 1 species
GACGAACGCUGGCGGCGUGCUUAACACAUGUAAGUCGAACGGAAAGGCCCUGCUUUUGUGGGGUGCUCGAGUGGCGAACGGGUGAGUAACACGUGAGUAACCUGCCCUUGACUUUGGGAUAACUUCAGGAAACUGGGGCUAAUACCGGAUAGGAGCUCCUGCUGCAUGGUGGGGGUUGGAAAGUUUCGGCGGUUGGGGAUGGGCUCGCGGCUUAUCAGCUUGUUGGUGGGGUAGUGGCUUACCAAGGCUUUGACGGGUAGCCGGCCUGAGAGGGUGACCGGCCACAUUGGGACUGAGAUACGGCCCAGACUCCUACGGGAGGCAGCAGUGGGGAAUAUUGCACAAUGGGCGGAAGCCUGAUGCAGCAACGCCGCGUGCGGGAUGACGGCCUUCGGGUUGUAAACCGCUUUCGCCUGUGACGAAGCGUGAGUGACGGUAAUGGGUAAAGAAGCACCGGCUAACUACGUG